rfam:Gossypium raimondii Chr12_contig_565, whole genome shotgun sequence.
AUCCCAUAAUGAGGACACUUACGAAGUAAAUCCUUGAAUCAUUCUCACACCUCGUACAAGGAUUCAUCAUCCAAUUGUGAAAAUUUGGUUAUCUCGUUUCGUAACUU